CGCCCCUGACUACGAGUGGGUUGACACAGAUUCUGACUGAGAGUCACAGCCUCAGAGGCAACGUAAACAAGCGUUAUAUUUCUCUAUAAACGAUGGUGUCUGUACUGCCUUACCACUUCGAGCUCGAUCCAGAGAGUUCAGAAGGCCGUUACGAUAUAAACGAUCUCCGUCAAUGAAUGCGAUUGGAUUUAACUUUUUUAGGUGUCCUUAGCUCUGCCAGAAUGCUAAACGAAGACGAAAAUGUGUUGCAAAGACAUCCAAAAGGUUUUAAGGAGAAUGCAACAGGUUCCAGGGCCUCUUACCUGCGUGAUUCAUCAUCCAGGUUUUGCACAAAUUGUCUAAAUCCCUACACACAGAACAUUUAUUGUACCGACUAUAAGCCUUUGAGGUGCAGGACUAGAAUAUGCUUGGAGCUUCCUGAUCUGAUCGGUCACAAUUUUGGCUUCCGACGACCCCUGCACUGAAGAUGGCAUGCAAUCACGUCCUCCUUUGAAGGUCUCUCAAACUGAUGCCAGGUCCAUUGGAAUCGGGGUUUCCUUCAG